ACGACGCUGGCGGCGUGCCUAAUACAUGCAAGUCGAACGGCUUUUCUAUGGAAGCUUGCUUCCACUGAGAAGAUAGUGGCGAACGGGUGAGUAACACGUGGGUAACCUGCCCAUAAGAGGGGGAUAACAUCCGGAAACGGGUGCUAAUACCGCAUAGUUUUCUUGAUCGCAUGAUUGAGAAAGGAAAGACGGCCUUUGUGCUGUCGCUUAUGGAUGGACCCGCGGCGUAUUAGUUAGUUGGUGAGGUAAUGGCUCACCAAGACGAUGAUACGUAGCCGACCUGAGAGGGUGAUCGGCCACAUUGGGACUGAGACACGGCCCAAACUCCUACGGGAGGCAGCAGUAGGGAAUCUUCCGCAAUGGACGAAAGUCUGACGGAGCAGCGCCGCGUGAGUGAAGAAAAGGGUUUUCGGAUCGUAAAACUCUGUUGUCAGAGAAGAACAAGUUGGAGAGUAACUGCUCCAGCCUUGACGGUAUCUGACCAGAAAGCCACGGCUAACUACGUGCCAGCAGCCGC
rnacentral:rRNA from 1 species